rnacentral:rRNA from 1 species
ACAAGCGGUGGAGCAUGUGGUUUAAUUUCGAUGAUACGCGAGGAACGUUACCUGGGCUCAAAUGUAUGUUGACGUAUUCUGAAAGGGAUACUUCUUCGGACAAUAUACAAGGUGCUGCAUGGUUGUCGUCAGCUCGUGCCGUGAGGUGUCGGGUUAAGUCCCAUAACGAGCGCAACCCCUAUCAUUAGUUGCCAUCAGGUCAAGCUGGGGACUCUAAUGAAACUGCCUACGCAAGUAGUGAGGAAGGUGGGGAUGACGUCAAGUCAUCAUGGCCCUUACGGCCUGGGCUACACACGUGCUACAAUGGUCGGUACAAAGGGUUGCCAAGCCGCGAGGUGGAGCUAAUCCCAUAAAACCGAUCGUAGUCCGGAUCGCAGUCUGCAACUCGACUGCGUGAAGUCGGAAUCGCUAGUAAUCGUGAAUCAGAAUGUCACGGUGAAUACGUUCCCGGGCCUU